CGGGGUCAAGCAAUUCUCCUGUCUCAGCCUUCCGAGUAGCUGGGAUUACAGGCGCCUGCCACCACGCCUGGCUAAUUUUUGUAUUUUUAGUAGAGACGGGGUUUUACCAUGUUGGCGGCUGGUCUCGAACUCCUGACCUCAGGUGAUCCGCCUGCCUCUGCCUCCCAAAGUGCUGCGAUUACAGGCGUGAGCCACCAUGCCCAGCCUGUGGUCUCUUUUCAAAAACCCACAACUCUAGUCUAAUCAUGAGAAAAACAUCAGACAAAUCCUAGCUGAGAAAUCGUACAAAAUACCUGACCUGUACUCCUCAAAACAGUCAAGGAAUCAUCAAAAACAAGGAAGGUCUAAGAAACUGUCACAGCCAAAAGGAGCCUAAGGAGACACAGUGACUAAAUGUGAUGUGGAAUCCUGGAACAGAAAAAGGACAGUAGGUAAAAACUAAGGAAGUCUGGAUAAAGUAAUGCAUGAUGUUACUAAUAGGGAAAAUGUCUUCACAAUUUUUCUGCACUUUUAAAGCUGUUCUUUAAAAAUACUUUUUUUUUUUUUUUUGACAUGGAGACUUGCUCCGUUGCUCAGGCUGGAGUGCAGUGAAGUGAUCUCGGCUCACUGCAAGCUCCGCCUCCUGGGUUCACGCCAUUCUCCUGCCUCAGCCUCCCAAGGAGCUGGGACUACAGGCGCCCACCACCACGCCUGGCUAAUUUUUUGUAUUUUUUUUUUUUUUUUUUUUUGUAGAGAUGGGGUUUCAUCAUGUUAGCCAGGUUGGUCUCGAUCUCCUGACCUCGUGAUCUGCUCGCCUUGGCCUCCCAAAGUGUUGGGGUUACAGGUGUGAGCCACCGCUCCCGGCCUUUUUUUUUUUUUUUUUUUGAGACAGAGUCUCACUGUAGCCCAGGUUGGAGUGUAGUGGUGUGAUCUUGGCUCACUGCAACCUCUGUCUCCUGGGUUCAAGCAAUUCUGCCGCCUCAGCCUCCCAAGUAGCUGGGAUUUCAGGCAUGCGCCACCACACCUGGCUCAUUUUUUGUAUUUUUAGUAGAGAUGAGGUUUCACCAUGUUGGCCAGGCUGGUCUCAAACUCCUGGCCUCAGGCCAUCCACCUACCUCAGCCUCCCAAAGUGCUGGGAUUACAGGUGUGAACCACCGUGCCCGCCAAAAAACUUUUUUUUUUCAUGUGGAAGAAUUAGUUGGCAGCAUGAGCCCAGAUUGCAUCAUCCCAUUAGGGGAAGCAGCCCCCAAACUUGUCUCCUUCUUCCUGGUCUUUCUCACACACUGCUGUAACCUCCCUCACAUUUCUUAUUAGAAGGUUCUUCUCAAAACUGCCUGCCCAUUUGCCUCCCCCAACCCCCAACAGCAGCCUCACAUCCCUGAUCAAUAACACUGUGAUUCUGAGGUGCCAAGAGGAGGGGCUUUACCAGCCCUUGGGUGAUUACUACCAAACGGCCCAGAGGCCAGAGAGAGAGGGCAGGAAUUUGCCCCACUACCUGCUCAGU
rnacentral:lncRNA from 1 species